GGAAGGGGAGGGAAGAUAAAGUUUCCUGAGCAACGGAGUAAAACCACUUGCGAAAGAAGAGAGCUGCAAGUGCAAAGUGAGGCUGUGAAGAUCCGGCAGGACUAUGGGUUCCUUACUAUGCUCAGUUACUUUUUCUCCUCCUUUAGAUCUGUAUAUACGUUUUUUUGGGUAUGGCUUAGUGUAAUCUGUGUUAGCCACACCAGGCUCCAGGGAGCAGCAAGAAUCGGUUGCCUAGCAGAGGUUGCUCUUGAAGGGCUGAACAGAAUUGUACUGGAAACCUUAGGGAGGCUCUCAUCCCUCCCUGGUUGUUUUAGACAGGGAUUUGCCUAUUGGAGGUGGUGCUUGGUGCAGGUAUUGUGUGCAUGUGUGUACACAGUUCAUGCAUCACAGGUAUUUGACAGUGUGUGUGAGAGAGGAACAUUCUUGUUGAAUAAACAGGUGCAGACAGUGCCUGGAGGGCAGCACUGACUGUCUGGCCGCAGCAACAGCAGCGAGAGGAGUUGAACAUGAGUAGCCCCCCACGAAGCCGACCUGCCUGUCACAGCCAAUGGUGAAGAGUGUGCUGGUGUAUCGCAACGGGGAUCCGUUCUUUCCGGGGCACCGGGUAGUCGUCCAUGAGAAGAAGGUGUCCAACUUCGAGGUCUUCCUGAAAGAGGUGACUGGUGGGGUGAAGGCGCCUUUUGGGGCUGUGCGUAGCAUCUACACCCCCCGGGGCGGGCAUCGCGUCCGUCAGCUGGAGGAGCUCCAGAGUGGAGAGCACUAUGUGGCUGGUGGCAGGGAGGCCUUCAAGAAACUCAACUAUUUGGACAUAGGAGAGGCAAAGAAAAAGCCUGCAGAAGUCAAUAAUGAGUUAACAGUGGAAGAUGUGAAGCCAGUUACCCACAGUAGAAUCAAUGUGUCAGCACGGUUUCGAAAACCACUUCAAGAGCCAUGCACUAUUUUUCUGAUUGCUAAUGGAGACCUUAUAAAUCCAGCAGUGCGCCUCUUCAUCCCUAGAAAAACACUAAAUCAGUGGGAUCAUGUUCUUGAAAUGGUGACAGAAAAAGUAACCCUCCGAAGUGGAGCUGUGCACAGGCUUUAUACUUUAGAUGGAAAACUUGUUCAGAGUGGGUCAGAUCUGGAGAAUGGGCAGUUCUAUGUCGCAGUGGGCAGAGACAAGUUUAAGAAGUUGCCUUAUGGUGAUCUACUGUUUAGCAAGUCUACAAUAAGAAGACCUCAGGGUUCCAAAGCCUCUUCACUGCCUCCUGUUGUGGGAUCCCGAAAAUCGAAAGGGAGUGGAAAUGAUCGCCAAUCUAAAUCUACUGUUGGCUCCCGUGACACAGGAGACAUGGUGUCAUCUCCUCAGCCUCCAAAGAGAAAGGAAAAGAGAGAACAGACUCAAGAGAAGAUCAGUUUUUCUAACAAACCCACAAAAGUGAAGCAAAAUAUAAGAGCAACAACUUAUAUCCUUCAAGAUAAUGAUGAAGGUAUUUACAAAGCUGGUGAAAAACGGUCUGAAACGUGGGGGGCAGCGGAAAUCCAGGAAGAUGAAGACACUCAAGUAGAGGUUCCAGUCGAUCAGAGGCCAGCAGAAACAGUAGAUGAGGAAGAAAAUGAAGAAGAGGGAGAUGAGGGAGAAAUGAAUGGAGAUCAGGGAGAGGAAAUGGGGGAGGCCGUUAAUGGAAAUGUUCUCCAGAAUGAGAUAGAAGAAAAUGAAGAGAAAAUAAAUGAGAAUUAUGAAGAGCAAGAAGAAGAGAAUUUUGGACAGCUGGAGAAAGAGGGGCCUUUCCACUUAAACGGUGAAACUAAUGAAGAAAAUGGUGAGGAAAUGGAGCAGUUUAAUGACCACAAUGAUCUUCAUCCUGAAGAAGAAACAAAAGCACCAGAGAACUUUGACAAUCAAAGCCAGGAGAGGGUCUUCAACAGCAGGAAAUGGAAUCAGAAAUGUCUGUGUCACGUGUGAACUACCCCAAGUGUUCGGUAACCUGAGCAGUGGAUAGAUUUCCUGAGAUUACACGAUUGACUCUCAUCUGGAAAAAACAUCAAAUCCAAGAGUAACUAUCACCAGCCCACAAGAAAGUGAAAAAAAUGACCAAACCAAUGAGUAUGCUGCUGUAGCAUAGACUUUUUAAAAAGUAGAUUAGCAGAAAAUGAAGGAUUGUAAUAUUUGACAUUUAAAGCAUGUUGUUAUCUGUGAUUGAUAAUUUAUAAUGUGAAGAUACAGUUGAGUACCACCUAUUGAGUCUUGAAAUGAUAAUGCCAUAUGGAUUGACAGAGAUAAUGAACAUCCUAUUAAAAGGAAGACUGAAUUAUUUUCACAAUAUGUGGCUUACUGAUGAGAUUUUAGGGGGGAAAUUUAGGGGGUUUUGUUUAGAAAUACUAUAAAUAAGUGAGCUAUUCCUUCUUUGUUCUCAGAUGAUAGUACUAGAAUCAACCCCAUUUGUUAGUCUUCCAGUAUGCUCCAAAAAAGCAUUUGUUAGAUAUCAGAGUUUUUCAGCAAUUUUGUUUAGAAAAGAAUAUUUUUGUGACUUCUAAUGGAAAAAUGUAUAAUGUUUUUCUUAGAAUAAUAAACAGCUAGAAAUAUGAGGUA